UAAAGGCUUGGUCCUGGCCUUGUUAUCUGCUUUUUCCUGAUUUAUACAUGCAAGUUUCAGCGCCCCCGUGAGGAUGCCCUUUACCCCUUCACCAGGUUCAGGAGCCGGUAUCAGGCACAAUAAUUUGCCCACUACACCUAGUCUUACCACACCCCCAAGGGUCUUCAGCAGUAAUAAACAUUGAAUAUAAGCGACAGCUUGAUUCAGUCAAGGAAAAGAGAGUCGGCCAACCUGGUGCCAGCCGCCGCGGUUAGACCACGUAGACUCAAGUUGAUAGCAGUCGGCGUCAAGCGUGAUUAAAGUACUUAGCCAAUUAGAGUUAAACCUCAGCUCAGCUGUGAAAAGCAUGCUCUAGGGAGACACAUAAACGAAAGUUAUUCUAAUUUUAUACUUGACCCCACGUAAACUAGGAGAACAAACUGGGAUUAGAUACCCCACUAUGCCUAGCUGUAAACUUUUAACUUACACCCCUAAACGCCAGGGAACUACGAGUUUUAACUUAAAACCCAAAGGACUUGACGGUGUCCCACCCGACUAGAGGAGCCUGUUCUAUAAUCGAUGGUCCCCGCUCUACCUAACCCCCUUUUGCUUUUCAGUCUGUAUACCUCCGUCGUAAACUCACCAUGUGAAUGUAACAUAGUAUGGUUUAAAGGUCAUUGCCAACACGUCAGGUCAAGGUGCAGCCCACGAGGGGGUAAGAAAUGGGCUACAAUUUCUAAUCUAGAACAAACGAAAUACUGCAUGAAACACAGUUAAGAAGGAGGAUCUAGUAGUAAAGAGAAAAUAGUGUGUUCUCUUAAAUACGGCCCUGGGAUACGUACACACCGCCCGUCGCCCUCUUCGAAAAUUAUAAUUCGCUAAAUAACCAGUCAUCACAAAUAGAGAAGAGAUAAGUCGUAACAUGGUAAGUGUACCGGAAGGUGCACUUGGUUCAA
rnacentral:ncRNA from 1 species